rnacentral:rRNA from 1 species
UACGUAGGGUGCAAGCGUUGUCCGGAUUUAUUGGGCGUAAAGAGCGUGUAGGCGGCCAGGUAGGUCCGGUGUGAAAACUCGAGGCUCAACCUCGAGACGUCGAUGGAAACCAUCUAGCUAGAGUCCGGAAGAGGAGAGUGGAAUUCCUGGUGUAGCGGUGAAAUGCGCAGAUAUCAGGAAGAACACCCGUGGCGAAGGCGGCUCUCUGGUACGUGACUGACGCUGAGACGCGAAAGCGUGGGGAGCGAACAGG